rnacentral:ncRNA from 1 species
AUCGCCUGCGGUAUUUCCUGCAAGGGCUAACUUGCUUGUGGCCGCCAAGCGUUCAUAGCAACGUGGCUUUUUGAUCCUUCGAUGUCGGCUCUUCCUAUCAUUGCGAAGCAAAAUUCACAAAGCGUAGGAUUGUUCACCCUUUCAAGGCAACGUGAGCUGGGUUUAGACCGUCAUGAUACAGGUUAGUUUUACCCUACUGGUGUGCAAGUGCAUGGAAUGGAAUUUCUGUGCAGUACGAGAGGAACCACAGAUACGGUCCAAUGGCUCAAUACUAGUCCGAGCGGACUUUGGUAUGACGCUACGUCCGUCUGAUUAUGCCUGAACGCCUCUAAGGUCGUAACAGAACCAAGCUGGUAGCAUAUAAAUAGGUGUUGGUAAAUAGUUGGCUCAUAACCCCGUGAGUUACGGUAGUGUACAAUCGUCUCUAUCGUAUUAUUGGAAUACCCUCAAUCUGAGCCUCGAAGUGAGUUCACCCACCAUAGUACCUGAACUGGGAAGUGGUGGUGAAAGCGCUGACCUUCUAUAAAUAUUUUCAACACCUAAGACCAUCCGAAAACGACGGAACUACAGGCUGGGAGCUACGCAUUGAAGAGAGAUGUACAUUUCGAUCCUGUCAGGCUACCCUUGCUUGGCGGUUG